CUUAAACUAACUGCCAAUUUCUGGUUUUUUGGUGGUAAAAUACACAUAACAAUAUUAAUGUGCACAAUUCCAAGGCCCUUAGCUUAUAUGUCACUGUCUAGUUCCAAGACAUUUCAUCCCCUAAAGGGAAACCCCUCCCCAUCAGCAGUUACGUCCCACUCCCCUCUGCCCGAACCCCUGGAAACCACUGAGCCACUUUCUGUCUCUGCGUAGAGCUGACUAUUCUGGACGUUUCGUGUAAAUGGAAUCGUGCAACACGUGGCCUUCCCAUCUGCCUUCUCCCACGUAGCACGGUGACUAAGGCUCGUCCGUGCUGCUGCUUCGCCUCUCUCGCCCCGCAGCGGCCGGACGGGCUCCUCCUCUCCCCACAGACCCUGAGCUCUGUCCCCCGUGUCCCUGCAGGGCUCUUGGGGACGCCUGCCAUUGCCGAGAUCACAACCCACCCCGGUUUCCCUGCUCAGGUCAGAUUUCUGAAUAGUAGUCACCGUGACCCCAGAUCGGGCACCUCGAGCGUGCCGAGCUCUGCGCUAAGCGCACCCCACGCGUUGUCUCACGUGGUUUUAAUCCAGCAAUCCCAGGAGGAGGCAGCCAUCCUCAACCACUAUCGUGCCUCCCGCUCCAGGAGCUAGAUGCCCCGGGGGACACAGUCUGGCUCAAGGAGGAUCUAGGACACGCCACCUGCCUCCAGGGACAGGAGGGCAGGCACAGGCUGGAUGGACGCCGAGCUUGGUGGCCUGUCACCACCCGCCUCCCAGCCACACUAAGAUGAACCAGAGGCACAGGGUGGACACGGGCAGAUGUCUGGCUGGAGCCACCCUAGUAGGUGUUGGAGACUUUGCAGGUGGACACAAAUCAGGCUUAUACCUCCUGCCACCAACAUGCUAUCCUGGGUACGGAGUGACAGCAACAGACUUGCAGAUGUUUGAAAUGACCACUCCACCAGUGGAUCAUGUUUUCCUGAAAAAAAACACCGAGAAACCUCUGAAACGAGGUUCUGCCCUUGAGUGUGGAGGAGGCCACAGUGAGCAAGUCUGAUGGGUCUCUGAUCUCUCAGAGCUUACGGGCUAGCGGUGGAGACAGGCCCUUAUUUUACUACGACAAAGAAAGAAAUGAACUUCAGAAUGACGAGAAUUGGGAAAGUUGUAUCUGUUGCAUGUGAUUGGAUGCUGAUAAAUGAAUAUUUAUGAUGAAAAUUAAAAAAAAAAAGAAAAAACCAACACAGCCAAUAUAGUAGACUUGAAAGGAUUUAUAAUUUUAAAAAUCAUUAUCAUUUUAAGUCUGGAAAUAAUAAAGUAUGUAAAAAAAAUUUUAAAACACUUGGCUAUUAGCGCAGAAGAGGAAUACUCCAGGGGGUGUUCUUGGCUUCCUGGAGAGUUUGCUGUCCACAGGGAGAGACCCUGCCUUGGGUCAGCAGGCAGCAGCGGUGACUUGGCACUGCUCACCUCUGCCCCGAUUUCAGACAGUUCCAGCACAAACUCAUCACUGGGACAUUCUUUGAAUGGCUUCUUAGAGCCAGAAGCCAAUUAGCAUGAUUGGAAACGAACUGUAAGCACUAUUUCUUUUCCCAAAUAAAUUGACGUCAAGGAUUCAA